rnacentral:rRNA from 1 species
UACGUAGGUGUCGAGCGUUGUCCGGAUUUAUUGGGCGUAAAGAGCCCGCAGGCGGCUUGGCAAGUUUGAGGUGAAAUCUCCCGGCUUAACUGGGAGGGGGCCUCGAAAACUGCCAGGCUUGAGGCAUGGAGAGGGAUGCGGAAUUCCCGGUGUAGUGGUGAAAUACGUAGAUAUUGGGAAGAACACCGGUGGCGAAGGCGGCUCUCUGGACCGAGACUGACGCUGAGGCGCGAAAGCGUGGGGAGCAAACAGG